rnacentral:rRNA from 1 species
AACAGAGGCGGCAAGCGGUAUUCAUGAUAACUGGGCAUAAAGAGCUCGUAGGUUGACAUUCAUUAGAGAGCUUGAUGGCAAUGACUGCGUAUCGACGUAGCGCUUAUCUUGCACAAUUUGUCUACUGAGACGUGGAUAGGUUAGUGGAAAGCAACGUGUAGGUCGUCACGCCCGAUAUGUUGAGUAGCACCAAUGGCGAAAGCAGCUAACUCAUCACGAUCUGACGCUGAGGGGCGAAACUUUGGAAAGCGAUAGGG